CAACCAUUAUACACACCCCGGGCUCCUGCCGCCGCGCCGCCGCCGCCUCACAAAAUGGCGGCGCCCAUAGAGGAGACCGCGGCCGCCUCCCCGGCCCCAUUUUGUGGGAGGCGAGAGAUCUGUCAACAUGGAAAACCUCUGCUGAGGAUGCAUCCGAGUUUGGAAACCCCACUUAAGGGAUGGAGCCUGGGGGAUCACAUUAAACGGAAAAUGCCAACGACUUCUACCACCUCUACGCGUUUUUAGUUUUUCAUUUUCUCGAAGGAAGCGCCAGAAGCCUGUGGAGUAAUUGUAACUAGAGGGAGAACGGAAAGCUGAGGUGACUGCUCCGGGGACUUGGCGCGGCGCCUUGGUGGCUUUGGUUGCUCUUCCACGCUCCCGGCAGCUGACCAGAAUCUCUUGGAGGGUCUCCUGGGCCACCUCGGCCGCGCCAGUCGUGCAGUGAGACUUCUGUAGUUUUAAAAUGCCACAGUCCACGGCCCGGUCGGCACCGCUCGCCUGAAUCGUGGGCUUUGGGAACCUUGGAGGCUGCUGCUCCAGGAACUCGCGGUCGGCCGGGAGCCGGGGAGCUUCGUUGCUGGGAGCGGGCGGUAUUCGCGGACUCCGGCGGCCCUGGCGGGUCGCGGCCGGGAUCCGAGCCGGGGAUGACGAUGCUGAUGGAGCUGAUGGGGCAAGAGUGGGAACGGAGUGCAGAAGUGCAGCUUUCUGCAGGCUGCGCCUCAAUCGCUAAGUUCCACUCUCCAUCCUCUGCCGCGCUACUCCUGGCAUGUGGAUCACCAAGAUACAAUUUCUGGUCCUGUCUGUUCUUAUUGAUGUCCUUUACAGUUAAUAAAUUUGAUUGCCACUAAUCAGUCUGUAUCUCUUGCAAAAACACCACAUUUAGCAUCCAAGUAGAGUCAGAGUAUGUUUUUUAUGAGAUUGUACUAAAGUAACCUUCUAUUACAUUUCUUAUUACCAUAUUGCAUUUCCUAUAGUGGGCAGCAUAGAGCAGGUGGAUCCUGACAAAGUAAUGUUAGAGAUGUGCUGACAGCUUUACAAUAGAUAUUCUCCAACUAAUUUGACAAGAUAUAAAAUAAAAUGUAGUUCGUAGUUUUCAAGCAUUAAUGGAAAGUGUUCCUAUUAAAAAAUUACCAAUAACAGUGGAAAUUGUUGCAAUCCAAUUUGUAUAGUUUACUGUUUUGAUGACAAAGCGCUUAUGAUGGGAAA
rnacentral:lncRNA from 1 species